CAGCCGUAAACGAUGUGCGUUAGGUGUAUCGACGACCACGAGUCGUCGAGGUGCCGAAGGGAAACCGUGAAACGUACCGCCUGGGAAGUACGGUCGCAAGGCUGAAACUUAAAGGAAUUGGCGGGGGAGCACCACAACAGGUGGAGCCUGCGGUUUAAUUGGACUCAACGCCGGAAAUCUCACCGGAUAAGACAGCGGAAUGAUUGCCGGGCUGAAGACUCUGCAUGACUAGCUGAGAGGAGGUGCAUGGCGUCAGUGACU
rnacentral:rRNA from 1 species